rnacentral:lncRNA from 1 species
GGGGGAAUGUGAGGCCGGUCCCUGAACCCUGCGACGAUUUACCCAGUGUUGCUGAAGCUCCUGUCCCUCCAUCUGUUGUCCUGUCAGAAGCGGCUCCACUGCAGGAGCUACGGCCAGGACCACCUCGUGAUCACUGGCUUGUCUCCUGAGAAGCUGAGGAAUGUGUGCUGCGGUACAGCAGAGACAAGGACGCCAUGACUCUGGCCCGCACAGCCCAUCAGGGAAGCAGCCCCACCUGUGUCCUCCAGGAGACCUUCCUGUGA